rnacentral:rRNA from 1 species
GGGGUGACACAGAAGGAUAGGGAAUCGCACGAAUGGAAAUGUGCGUCCAAGCAGUGAGUGUGAGAAGUAGGCAAAUCCGCUUCUCGCGAAGCAUGAGCUGUGAUGGGGAAGGAAAUUAAGUACGGAAGUUCCUGAUUUCACGCUGUCAAGAAAAGCCUCUAGGAAGAGUAGUACUGCCCGUACCGCAAACCGACACAGGUAGAUGAGGAGAGAAUCCUAAGGUGAGCGAGAGAACUCUCGUUAAGGAACUCGGCAAAAUGACCCCGUA